rnacentral:rRNA from 1 species
ACAAGCGGAGGAGCAUGUGGUUUAAUUCGAUGAUACGCGAGGAACCUUACCUGGGCUCGAACGUAAGAUGACUGUAGGUGAAAGCUUACAUCUCUUCGGAGCAUUUUACGAGGUGCUGCAUGGUUGUCGUCAGCUCGUGCCGUGAGGUGUCGGGUUAAGUCCCAUAACGAGCGCAACCCCUACCUUUAGUUGCCAUCAGGUUAAGCUGGGGACUCUAAAGGAACUGCCUACGCAAGUAGUGAGGAAGGCGGGGAUGACGUCAAAUCAGCACGGCCCUUACGUCCAGGGCUACACACGUGCUACAAUGGCCGAUACAGAGGGCAGCUACCUGGUGACAGGAUGCAAAUCUCCAAAGUCGGUCUCAGUUCGGAUCGGAGUCUGCAACCCGACUCCGUGAAGCUGGAUUCGCUAGUAAUCGCGCAUCAGCCACGGCGCGGUGAAUACGUUCCCGGGCCUC